rnacentral:rRNA from 1 species
GCAGCGCGCGUGUGCACUCGGCGUCGAGUGGCGCACGCGAGUGAAUAGCAUAUGAAUCUGCCCCCACUCCGUGGGGGAUAACGUAGGGAAACUUACGCUAAUACCGCAUACGUCCUACGGGGGAAAGCGGGGGAUCUUCGGACCUCGCGCGGCGGGAUGAGCCGAUGCCGGAUUAGCUAGUAGGUGGGGUAAAGUCCCACCAAGGAGACGAUCCGUAAAUGGUCUGAGAGGAUGAUCAUCCACACUGGGACUGAGACACGGCCCAGACUCUUUUGGGAGGCAGCAGUGGGGAAUAUUGGACAAGGGGGGCAAACGUGAUCUAGCAAACCCGCGUGUGUGAAGAAGGCCUUCGGGGGUAAAGCACUUUUAUUGUGGGGAAAAUCCGGAAGGUUAAUACCCGUCCGGGUAAUCGGUACCCGAGGAAUAAGCACCCGGUAAAUUUGUGCCCCCACCCGCGGUAAUACGAAGGGUGCAAGCGUUAAUCGGAAUUACUGGGCGUAAAGGGUGCGUAGGCGGUUUGUUAAGUUCGAUGUGAAAGCCCUGGGCUCAACCUGGGAAUGGCAUCGAAGACUGGCAGACUGGAGUGCGGUAGAGGAUGGUGGAAUUCCCGGUGUAGCGGUGAAAUGCGUAGAGAUCGGGAGGAACACCAGUGGCGAAGGCGGCCAUCUGGACCAGCACUGACGCUGAGGCACGAAAGCGUGGGGAGCAAACAGGGGAUUAGAUACCCUGGUCUCCGCCCUAAAAGAUGAGAAAUGGAUGUGUGGCAUCUAGGCCCUCAGUAUCGAAGCUAACGCGUAAGUAGCCGCUGGAGACCCCACUUG